UCGGGUAUGGUGUAACGGCUAACAUUGCCGCCUCUCACGAGUGACCGCGGCAGCUCGGGGUUCGAUUCCCCGUACCCGAA